AGAGUUUGAUCCCGGCUCAGAAUCAACGCUGGCGGCGCGCUUAACACAUGCAAGUCGAACGAGAAAGGGAGCAAUCCUGAGUAAAGUGGCGUACUGGUGAGUAACACGUGGAUAUCUACCUCCUGGUGGGGAAUAACCUGGGGAAACCUGGGCUAUUACCGCAUAAGUUCGAGAGAAGAAAGGCGCAAGUCGCCGGGAGAGGAGUCCGCGGUCGAUUAGGUAGUUGGCGGGGUAAAAGCCCACCAAGCCAAAGAUCGAUAGCCGGCCUGAGAGGGCACACGGCCACACUGGCACCGAAACACGGGCCAGACUCCUACGGGAGGCAGCAGUGGGGAAUCUUGCACAAUGGGGGAAACCCUGAUGCAGCGACGCCGCGUGAGCGAUGAAGCCCUUCGGGGUGUAAAGCUCUUUCGGCAGGAACGAUAAUGACGGUACCUGCAGAAGAAGCUGCGGCUAACUACGUGCCAGCAGCCGCGGUAAUACGUAGGCAGCGAGCGUUGUUCGGAAUUACUGGGCGUAAAGAGCGUGUAGGUGGUGUCGUAAGUUUGGUGUGAAAUCUCCCGGCUCAACUGGGAGGGUGCGCCGAAGACUGCGAUGCUGGAGUAUGGGAGAGGAAAGCGGAAUUCCUGGUGUAGCGGUGAAAUGCGUAGAUAUCAGGAGGAACACCUGCGGUGUAGACGGCUUUCUGGACCAUUACUGACACUGAGACACGAAAGCGUGGGUAGCAAACAGGAUUAGAUACCCUGGUAGUCCACGCCCUAAACGAUGCAUACUUGGUGUGAGCCAUUCAGUUGGUUCGUGCCGGAGCUAACGCGUUAAGUAUGCCGCCUGGGGAGUACGGCCGCAAGGCUAAAACUCAAAGGAAUUGACGGGGGCCCGCACAAGCGGCGGAGCAUGUUGCUUAAUUCGACGCAACGCGAAGAACCUUACCAAGGCUUGACAUUGCCCGGAAACACUCAGAGAUGGGAGCCUCUUCGGAUCGGGUGACAGGUGGUGCAUCGCUGUCGUCAGCUCGUGUCGUGAGAUGUUGGGUUAAGUCCCGCAACGAGCGCAACCCUUGUUCAAUGUUGCCAGCAACACCCUUCGGGGUGGUUGGGGACUCAUUGGAGACUGCCGGGGUCAACUCGGAGGAAGGUGGGGAUGACGUCAAGUCAUCAUGCCCCUUAUGUCUUGGGCUGCAAACAUGCUACAAUGGCCGGUACAGAGGGCUGCGAUACCGCAAGGUGGAGCGAAUCCCUAAAAGCCGGUCUCAGUUCGGAUUGGGGUCUGCAACUCGACCCCAUGAAGUCGGAGUCGCUAGUAAUCGCAGAUCAGCAACGCUGCGGUGAAUACGUUCCCGGGCCUUGUACACACCGCCCGUCACGUCACGAAAGUCGGCAACACCCGAAGCCCGUGGCCCAACCAGCUUGCUGGGGGGAGCGGUCGAAGGUGGGGCUGGCGAUUGGGACGAAGUCGAAACAAGGUA
rnacentral:rRNA from 1 species